UUUCAAACAAAUUCUUUCCUUGUCUCAAUCACCCUUUUAGACAAGCUUGCCAGCAAGCCAGAGUCACUAUUAUUUUGUUGAAGUCUAGCUCUUGUGGUACUGUAUAUGCAAACAGGCUAAGACUUGCUGUGGUGAUUGAGAGUGAAUGAAGAAAGGUUCUGUUUCUUUGAGCCAUCUGGCUACAUUUCCAAGCCCAGGAGCAUCAGAUUACCGUGAUAAUGGCGUGGUGGUGGCUCAAAAAGGGUGGAGUUCAGAGAGAGUGCCACAUCCAGCUAAUAGUACUGGUUGUAGCAGAAGACAUAUCAGUGCUUCAUCUUUGACACCUUUUUACAGUGGUAGAACAUUGCCUUCCAAAUGGGAAGAUGCUGAAAGGUGGAUUUGUAGCCCCGUUUUGGGUUACGGUGUUAGCAAGAAUGCAAACUAUCAGCUUCAGAGGCGGCCAAAGUCUAAAAGUGGACCGAUUGUGCCUCCUGGAAUUGCUUUCUACUCCAAUUACUCGCCUUCAAUGCAGCUCCUUGAUGGUGGUGGUAGUGGGAGCGUGAGGAAUUUAAUGGCAGGGUCUCCAUUUUCUACUGGGGUUUUGAUGGCUGAUGGGGUCUCUGUUCAUUAUGGUGGGUGUAGAGGCUCUGUUGCUGGUGGAGACGGUGACGGUGAACAAUCUUGUAUGGUGCAGAAUGAUAGUAAUGUGGCACGAUCCGCUAUUAUACCUGGAUGGUCAGAUUUGGUCAGUGAGUCUUCAUUGCCCAGCUCUCAAGAUGAAAAACUUGAUGAAAUCAAGGAUGCAGAAACGAUGAUCUCUCGCGUAGUUUCACGGAGGGAUAUGGCUACACAAAUGAGCCCUGAGGGCAGUAGCAGCCACUCUUCUCCCAGAGAGAGAUCUUCAUUUUGCCACUCACCUCCUCCUAUCCUUCCUCUGCCUGCUAUGGAGAACAGUGAUCAUCCUUCUAAAUUGGACAUCAGGGAAGUGCAGAUAGACAAACGAGCCACCAUGACCAACUGGCCCAAAAGACAUGGAUCAAGAAGAAUCGAGAAAGGCGUGCCAGAUUUCGAAGACUUUUACCAGAACAACACGGCAGGUUCUGCUUUAUCUCUGGAUGUUUCAGAGGCAGCAACAAGCAUUUCAAAGUUGCAUAGGGAGGAAGCAAAGAUCAACGCGUGGGAGAAUUUGCAGAGGGCAAAAGCUGAGGCAGCCAUACGUAAACUAGAGAUGAAAUUGGAAAAGAAGAGAUCAGCAUCAAUGGAUAAGAUCUUGAGCAAGCUGAGAAUGGCUCAGAUGAAAGCCCAAGAAAUGAGAAGUUCAAUGCCAGCCAAGGAGAAUGAACAGAUUCCAAAGACUUCUCAGAAGGUAUCAUUCUUCAACAUCCGCAUGAGUUCCUUCCGCAGUUGCUUCACCUGUCAUGCUUACUAGUUUCUCGCAAUGUAUAUCUCCAUGUCCAUGGGUUCAAAUCUUUUCCACCAGGUCCUAGAAAAUGCGGAUUUCAAGCUCUUGUUCUUGGCGGAUGGGAUUUUUUAUACACAAAAAUGCUUAUCUGGAAAUAUCAUCCGUGAUAGCUUCAAAAGUCCACUACCAAGGCAUUAGGUUGCUCCGGUCCUGUCUACUGGUGUUGGUGAACCAUCCGUUGGAUUGGAGUAUUAAAUACAGAAACACAAACUCUAUAUUUAACAGGGCACCUACCAACUAUUCGUUAAAUAUUUGCACUUUUGCCUAACAA